rnacentral:rRNA from 1 species
AGUGAACGCUGGCGGUAGGCCUAACACAUGCAAGUCGAACGGCAGCACAGUAAGAGCUUGCUCUUACGGGUGGCGAGUGGCGGACGGGUGAGGAAUACAUCGGAAUCUACUUUUUCGUGGGGGAUGACGUAGGGAAACUUACGCUAAUACCGCAUACGACCUACGGGUGAAAGCAGGGGAUCUUCGGACCUUGCGCGAUUGAAUGAGCCGAUGUCGGAUUGGCUAGUUGGCGGGGUAAAGGCCCACCAAGGCGACGAUCCGUAGCUGGUCUGAGAGGAUGAUCAGCCACACUGGAACUGAGACACGGUCCAGACUCCUACGGGAGGCAGCAGUGGGGAAUAUUGGACAAUGGGCGCAAGCCUGAUCCAGCCAUACCGCGUGGGUGAAGAAGGCCUUCGGGUUGUAAAGCCCUUUUGUUGGGAAAGAAAAGCAGCAGGUUAAUACCCCGCUGUUCUGACGGUACCCAAAGAAUAAGCACCGGCUAACUUCGUG